rnacentral:rRNA from 1 species
GACGAACGCUGGCGGCGUGGAUAAGACAUGCAAGUCGAACGGGGCAAUGCUUUUAGCAAUAUGAGUGUUGUUGAGUGGCGAACGGGUGCGUAACACGUGGAUACAUUCCGGAAAGCGGGGGAUAGCCCAGGGAAACUAGGAUUAAUACCGCAUGUGGUCGAAAGACUAAAGGUGGGGACCGCAAGGCCCGCCACUUUCCGAUUGGUCCGCGGCCUAUCAGCUAGUUGGCGGGGUAAAGGCCCACCAAGGCAACGACGGGUAGCUGGUCUUAGAGGACGACCGGCCACACUGGAACUGAGACACGGUGCAGACACCUACGGGUGGCAGCAGUCGAGAGUCUUUCACAAUGGGGGCAACCCUGAUGGAGCGACGCCGCGUGGAGGAUAAGGUCUUCGGAUUGUAAACUCCUGUCAUGCGCGAACAAGGUUGCUGGGUUAAUAACCCGGCAAAUUGAUGGUACCGCAAGAGGAAGAGACGGCUAACUCUGUGCCAGCCGCCGCAGUAAUAC